CCUACGGGGGGCAGCAGUGGGGAAUUUUGGACAAUGGGGGCAACCCUGAUCCAGCCAUGCCGCGUGUGGGAAGAAGGCCUUCGGGUUGUAAACCACUUUGCGAGAAUCAUCGGUACCUGGAGAAUAAGCACCGGCUAACUACGUGCCAGCAGCCGCGGUAAUACGUAGGGUGCAAGCGUUAAUCGGAAUUACUGGGCGUAAAGCGUGCGCAGGCGGUUUGGCAAGUCAGAUGUGAAAGCCCCGGGCUCAACCUGGGAAUUGCAUUUGAAACUGCGAGGCUAGAAUGUGUCAGAGGGGGGUAGAAUUCCACGUGUAGCAGUGAAAUGCGUAGAGAUGUGGAGGAAUACCGAUGGCGAAGGCAGCCCCCUGGGAGAACUGACGCUCAUGCACGAAAGCGUGGGGAGCAAACAGGAUUAGAUACCCUUGUAGUC
rnacentral:rRNA from 1 species